rnacentral:piRNA from 1 species
UAGGCAUCCCUUGGAGGCUUCAGCUGC